GACAGCAGUAGCCGCGGUAAUACGGAGGGUGCAAGCGUUAAUCGGAAUUACUGGGCGUAAAGCGCACGCAGGCGGUCUGACAAGUCAGAUGUGAAAUCCCCGGGCUUAACCUGGGAACUGCAUUUGAAACUGUCAGGCUGGAGUCUUGUAGAGGGGGGUGGAAUUCCAGGUGUAGCGGUGAAAUGCGUAGAGAUCUGGAGGAAUACCGGUGGCGAAGGCGGCCCCCUGGACAAAGACUGACGCUCAGGUGCGAAAGCGUGGGGAGCAAACAGGAUUAGAUACCCGAGUAGUCCCUGUCUCUUAUAC
rnacentral:rRNA from 1 species